UACAGAGGUCUCAAGCGUUGUUCGGAUUCAUUGGGCGUAAAGGGUGCGUAGGCGGCGCGGUAAGUCGGGUGUGAAAUCUCGGGGCUUAACUCCGAAACUGCAUUCGAUACUGCCGUGCUUGAGGACUGGAGAGGAGACUGGAAUUUACGGUGUAGCAGUGAAAUGCGUAGAGAUCGUAAGGAAGACCAGUGGCGAAGGCGAGUCCCUGGACAACUCCUGACGCUGAGGCACGAAAGCUAGGGGAGCAAACAGG
rnacentral:rRNA from 1 species